AAUCAUCAUUGGGGUAUCUAGUUUAAAAAAUGUGUCCCGUGACCCGGCCAACCAACCAAGAUGGCCGCCAUGGCUAAAAAUAGAACAUAGUGGUAAAAUGCAGUUUUUGACUUAUAACUCAAAAACCAAAGCAUUUAGAGCAAAUCUGACGGGGUAAAAUUGUUAAUCAGGUCAAGAUCUAUCUGCCCUGAAAUUUUGAGAUGAAUCGGACAAUCCGUUGAUAGGUUGCUGCCCCUGAAUUGGUAAUUU
rnacentral:lncRNA from 1 species